GAUAUGUCUUUUUGCGGCAGGUUCUCGUUUUUAUCCCCCGCAAACAGUGGGCCGGUUUUUUUGUGUCGAUCCCUUCCCCCUAUUUUCGUUGGGGUCUCGACCCGCGAACCCGGCGAAGAAUUAAAAUGGGUUGUUGGGGGCUUAAUCUUAAAAUUGUCCAAGGUAAACUUCUUGUAUUGAUGAAAAAUUAACUCCUGCCAAAGCUUCUGCGAGGGAGGUUUUCAUAAACCAAGAACAAAAGUAAGGGGAGGGAAAACAAUAAGAAACCGUCGUAGUCUUAACCAUAAAGAAUGCCAACAACCGAUUAGGAGACGUUGAAUACAAAACACCACCAUCCGUUGCGGGCGUCCUUGCCGUCUCGGUUUCGGCCGGGGCGCGGGGAUGGCUUGGCCGAUGGCACCGGUGAAUGACUCCCCUAAACCGCGGGAGAA
rnacentral:rRNA from 1 species